AUUAGUUUUUUAAUUGGAGGCUAGAAUGAAUGGUUGGACAAGAAAUAAUCUGUCUUAAAUUAAUAUAUUGAAUUUAACUUUUAAGUGAAAAGGCUUAAAUAAUCUGAAGGGACGAUAAGACCCUAUAAAACUUUAUAUUUAUAUAAUAGUAGUUAGUUUUAUUUAAAAAUAUUAUUUUGGAAUAUUUGGUUGGGGUGACAAGGAUAAAAUGUAAGAUAACUGUCUUUUUUUUUUACAGUGAUGUUUGGUUUAAUGAUCCUAAAAAGGAUUAGAAGAUUAAGUUACUUUAGGGAUAACAGCGUAAUUUUCUUUAAGAGUUCUUAUCGACAAGAAAGUUUGCGACCUCGAUGUUGAAUUAAAGGUUCUUUAUAGAGUAGAGACUAUAAUAGAAGGUCUGUUCGACCUUUAAAAUUUUA
rnacentral:rRNA from 1 species